rnacentral:rRNA from 1 species
GACGAACGCUGGCGGCGUGCUUAACACAUGCAAGUCGAACGAAGAGCGAUGGACGCUUGCUUCUAUCAAUCUUAGUGGCGAACGGGUGAGUAACGCGUAAUCAACCUGCCCUUCAGAGGGGGACAACAGUUGGAAACGACUGCUAAUACCGCAUACGAUCUAAUCUCGGCAUCGAGGAAAGAUGAAAGGUGGCCUCUAUUUAUAAGCUAUCACUGAAGGUGGUGAUUGCGUCUGAUUAGCUAGUUGGAGGGGUAACGGCCCACCAAGGCGAUGAUCAGGAGCCGGUCUGGGAGGAUGAGCGGCCACACUGGGACGGAGACACGGCCCAGACGGGUACGGGAGGCAGCAGUGGGGAAUCCGGCGCGAUGGAGGGGAGUCUGACGGAGAAACGCCGAGUGAGUGAUGACGGCCUUCGGGUUGUGGAGCUCUGUUAAUCGGGACGAAAGGCCUUCUUGCGAGCAGUGAGAAGGAUUGACGGUAACGUAAUAGAGAGCCACGGCUAACUAAGUG